UACGGAGGGUGCAAGCGUUGUCCGGAAUCACUGGGCGUAAAGGGCGCGUAGGCGGCUCGGUAAGUAGGGGGUGAAAUCCUGCGGCUUAACCGCAGGGCUGCCUUCUAAACUGUCGAGCUUGAGCACGGUAGAGGCAGAUGGAAUUCCCGGUGUAGCGGUGGAAUGCGUAGAUAUCGAGAGGAACACCUGCGGCGAAGGCGGGUUGCUGGGCUGACACUGACGCUGAUGCGCGAAAGCCAGGGGAGCGAACGGG
rnacentral:rRNA from 1 species